GUUGGGGGUUGCUGGCUUGUUUGUCAGCUCUCCUGAAAUACAUUAGCGGUGGACAAGCAAGGCCUUCCGACGUGAUAAUGAUCGUCGUGGGGCGGAGCAUCAACGUCUGUCUGCUUCUAAAUCCCAGAUGCCUUAGCUAGACAUCAUUUCGAACGCUUGACCUCAAAUCAGGUAGGACUACCCGCUGAACUUAAGCAUAUCAAUAAGCGGAGGAAAAGAAACUAACAAGGAUUCCCCUAGUAACUGCG
rnacentral:misc_RNA from 1 species